rnacentral:tmRNA from 1 species
GGGGUCGACAUGGCUUCGACGUGGGUCAAGAAGCAGAGCAGGGCGUGUCGAGCACCAGUUCGCUCGUAAAACCACUGGAAAACUUACAAACGCCAACGACGAGCGUUUCGCUCUAGCCGCUUAAGGCCGAGCCACUACACUGAUUUGUCUUUGGGUCAGGUAAGGUAAAACUUACAGUAGUGUUAUUUACAAAGAAUCGGAUUUGCCUGGGUCACUCAGGUAAGUCCUAAAUCUUAGUGACUCGCUCAGGAAAGGCCGGUCGACAGGCAUAAUCCUGGGUUAAAGCCCAAAAUAAGUCGACUACACAUGUAGAACUGCCUGUGGACGAUUCGCGGACGGGGGUUCAAUUCCCCCCGACUCCACCA